AAAGAAAAACAAUUAUCUGUUGGCAUUUCCAGUUUAAAUAUUUAUAGUUUUUUGUUUGGGGGAGUGCAUAACUUGUUUGUCCCUUAACCCUUCAUAACGUGCAAGCCAAUGAAAAGAUACACGGCACAGAAUAAAAAUACUGUAAUGAUUUUUAAAAGCUAAAAAAACCCCAUAGUCAUGACAACUAUUAUAGGAUUGGGAAAACUAUACUUUGAUCCAGUUAAUGCUAAAAAUCAACAAGAUGUUUGUUCCUGGGUUGGCUGUUGAGACAGCAGGCUGAAGAUGAGUAUUAAGGCCUAAUCUUAUCUUGAAGACAUCAGACCUCCAGUUAAAAGUUCAAAACUAUGCUGCUCUAGGGUUUUUUUCUUUUUGAGAAUGAAUUAGACAAACUAUUAAAAGUCUUCAUUCACAGAUGAACAACUUUCCGUGCCCAUCAGUGCUUGCCCUUCAGAAUGACAUUAGUCUCCUUUCUUUGGUUCAUCAAACAUUAAAAACAAGUGGCAGCUGCCAAGCUUUCAUCUCAUCUGACAGAUUCUGCAAUCUGUACUUUUUUCUGAGGGUUCAAUCUAAUGCCUUUUGAAGAUAGAUCCUUCACAGACAAUGCAACAUUUACAAUUUAAUGUAGGAUAUAUGGUGUUCUUUUUCUCUCCCCAUGAGAAAGAGAACAUUAGUUAUCCAAAUCAUCUGGAAUGCUUUUGAAAAAUGAUUUCAGGUUCAGCUGUUCUUUGAGAGCAUCUGCAGCUCUAAUUUUGGUUAUAUUUUCUGUGUUUUCUCACAUACAGUGAUAUAAUAAAACUUCUGUAUUGAAGACAGAACUUGCCUUUUUUUUUAAAAAGCCCCCUAUUUUAAAAAGUCCUUAAAUGCUCAUUAUUAAAUUGACUUCUGAGAUGUUAGAAUUCAUACAGCCAUGUAUGUAACACAAGAUUUUUGUGUGUGCAUAAAGCAAACUGCAGUCAUUGAACUAAUGAAAGCAGAAAAAUCUUUAGUCUUGUUGAUGCUCAAAAAGUACAUAAUUUAGCUUCAAGCAAAUGCUUACAAAUUCCUGAACGUAAUAGAAAAUGCAGCUAAUCAUUGGAUGAAGCUGGGUUAACUUGAGCUGAAAUGCCUAAAACAGCAAUCUCUCAUUCUGUGAAAGAAAAAAAAGACAAUGGCACUGAUUUGUAAUUAGUGAUCAAGGAAUGCUGCAGUUUGACCUUGUUAAGGUAGUGUCAUUUCAAUGGGAUAGACUAAUUUUCCUGGUUUUUUUCUAGUUAAGAGUAUCUCAAAUUCUUAAAUGGAACUUGCGUCAUAUUUCUGAAGAAAAGCUCCCCCUUCCCCUUCCUGAAAUAAGAGGUGUUGGCUUUGGCUUUAUGGCGUUUUUGUGCUCACUACUCAAAUACCUCUGACUGUGCUGUAAUUAACUGAAUAGUACAUUAAAUAUUAUCACUGAUAGUGGUAAGGAAAUUAGGCAGUUUAAAUCCACAUUAUUGUGCCAUAGAGCUAGAACAUACCAGUACUUGAAAAUUUAAUUUUUGAUUACUUCAUGCUGAAAAAAUAAUAAAAAAAUCUGAUAGUUUGUUGUUCAUAAAUAAUUUAAUGUGAAGAUUAAUUCUAUGAGUUUGCAUGUAGGUGUGAUGACUGUUCUUGCUUAAGCUGUUCAGUUCCAUGUUUCACUGCAGGUGUUACUAGAGAAAGCAUGGUAAUCCUCUCCUCAUGUCUUGGGCAGUGGGCAGUUUUGGAGCUUUCAGAUGCAGACAUUUUCAAUAACUGUUAGAAUGAUACUUUGCUGUCCUAGAGAGUCAGUGCAAAACAGUUUGUUAUAUUAAGUGCAUGUAGAUAAAACUUAUGUAGUUAAGUUUGAUUUAAAAUAUCUAGAAAAUGUCAUUUUCUUCUACUAUAUUCUAAAAGUACAGCAUAUACCAACUUGAUUCAGUAAAACAAAAUGAUAAGCUAAAUUGCCAAGUAAAGUGCAAAAUGAAGGAGGUAGCUCUUUGUGAAACAAUGUAUCAAGCUCGAGGACUACUUUAGAUUUUUAACAUACAAAUAAUACAGAAAGUUAGUCCACAGAACCAGAAAUAAAUUCAAGGAUGGUAUGCCUUAAAUCUUCUGAAAGACCUGAACUGUGUUACUGGCACAGUUUAUCCCAUCUGGUAUGCAGUGACUUUCCCCAUGUCCCCCACCUACGGGUUAGUGUUGGCAUGUAUGUGUCUGUCUGUCCUCCCCCACCUCACAGCCCUAGGCACAGUGAUUCUGUGAACUGCUCACCAUAUUGUUUAUACUGCUUUGCACUGGAAAUUGUAAAGUGCUGCCUUACAGUUAGUAAGGGAUUACUAUGUAGCAGGAAAGUAGACUUGCGAAAAAUUUGGGAGUGAAAGAUCCCCAGAAAAGAGAAAACAAGUCACCUGAAGGUUUUUCUGAAUGCAGCUUUUUUUUUCUCUCAUGAGAUGUUUGGUGGGUUCCAGAGAUUAGAGCCCUUAGUGUAAUUCAACAACAUGCUGUUUGCAGAAUCAGAAAGGGCACGUGGGGAGUGAAUGGAACAGGCUGCCUGCCCCUUCUUCACUGCCCUAUAGUGACUGCAUUAGUAGGAUGUCCCACUGCUUUUUUUCUGCCAUAUGAUCCUCUGCAGAUAGACUGCACAGCCAAGUAAGACAACAUUAUUUUGAAAUGUAUUGCAGUUUCCCUCUAGGUCUAGAUGACUUCCUGUUCUUUUCAAAUAUUCCAAUGAGAUGUUAUGAGAACAUUAACAUCUGAAGUUAUAACUAAGAGAGAGGUCUAGGUAAACUUGCAAGUUAGUCAAAAUGGAGUUCCACUCCAUCUCUGGGAGAAAUCAAUGUACAUACACUCAGUUUCCUGUUGCUUUGGGGUUUUUUUUUUCACAUUUUCUAAAGUAGCUUGAACACGAAAUUUGCUUGUUUGAUAGAGAAGACUGGUGGGUUACUCAGAGUCCAGGUUGUAUUUCAUGCACUGAAUCACUGGGUUCUUUUAUCUUUUCAGAUGACUUAACUCACUUUCAACAGAAUAGCUCGACUGUAAUAAUUGAUCCUUUCUGUGUUGCGAAGGUGUAAAGUGUAUUUCCUCAUAUUUGGAUUAUGUACGUUCCUGUGUAACCUGCUCUAGGUGACCCUGUCUUGGCAGGGGAGUUGGACUUCAUGAUCUCCAGAGAUCCCUUCCAACCCUAACGAUUCUGUGAUUCUGAAAUAUUCAUGAAUACCACAAGAUUUGCAUUUAAGUGAAUAUUAAAUGUUGCUAAUCUUUCCCAAGACUUAACUAUAGUAAUUUUAUUAUGCAAGAUAAAAUUGAUAUCACAUACUGAAAUGUGAGCACACAUACUUUGAUAUCCUUUAUCUUCUGUUUCUCAAAAUUAUCAAUAGUUUCCUCUAAUUGCCGCGUUGUUCGAGUAGCAUCCAGUGUCGCUCUCUGCAGUUCACUUUCAGCCUGGUAAAGUAACACAGAGGUGAAAUUAGUCUUGUAUUUGAUACAAAGCUAUUUGCUCAAUUGCCAUGAAAACACUGAAGUGUGGGUUUUCAAAACACUACAUAUCUGUGUUACAGUAUUUGUAAAUCUGUCGCUUAAUAAACAUAUAAAGAUGCCUCCUA